CUUCCCAUAACUCAAUGGAUUAGAGUAAUGCUCUUCUAAAGCAUAAGUUGUGAGUUCGAGUCUCACUGGGAAGA
rnacentral:tRNA from 1 species